GUUUUAAUCUCGUUUCCUUCUCCUACUUCAUUAACCUGCCCUCUCCACUCUAGUUAAGAUUACAAAAAGUAUAAAGGGAUCAACUUUUAGUGUGUGAAAUAAUUUUUAUUGAAAUAUCAACAGUCAACACAACCAUCAUGUCUAAACAUCCCGCAGGUUACUAUGGGGACUAUAACCCAGAUUUGGUUGUUAACCACGCUGGGUUAACCGAAGAGGAGGUGGACCACCUCCUCACCCAAAUUCCCGCGGGCACCUUCGAGUGGGUUUCCCUUAUUAACAUCUAUCUGCGACUGGAACCGCCCCCAUCCCUUGGAGGUUAUUUUGAUAUUUUUACCGUGGGGCGCUUGACCGCCGCGAUAGACACCGAUGAGGAGCGGGGUAUAAUUGACAUUUGGGUAUGGGUACAUUAAACCUCAUACAUGUUGGAUCGUUUUAUGAUGUUCAUAGCGUUUUUUAUGAUGUUCAUAGCGUUAGGUUUGGCUUAAAAACUGCAAUUAAAAAUUUAUUUAGGUGUAUGACUUUUUUAGUUUAAGUAUGUAGUUUGUUUUAUGUAUAAUAAAAAAUAAUAUUCAUUCUGAUUAUUUUUGUGAUCUUAUUUCCUGUCUAACGUUUUUUUCUUGUAAAUUUAUGAAUCAAAAAUUUUAUAAAUAUCCAGUUGUAUUUGAUUAUUAAUUUAUCGUUACAAUCAUUUUCCCCAAAAAAUUUAUAUCCAAUAGUUUACAAACAAUAUAUACAUUUCUAAUAGUUAAAACACAUUUAUACAUCUUUUAUAAAAAAAGUGGAUUUGUUUAAUUGAAAUAGGUAAAAAUUCAUAUCCAAAACCUUAAUUAAUUACUGGGCGGUUAACAUUUUUUACCAAAAGAUUUUGAAGAAUUUACAACAAUUUAUCAUAAACCCUCAACAGAUGAUAUAGUAAUUAUUGUAAAAGCUGAAGUUUAUAUUUUUUUCAUUAUCUACUUUUAGAUUUAAAACUAAUUAUCCGAAAUCUAUAAGCGAAGAAUUUAAAAUAUCAAGUCCAAUUUCGGCAGCGAUAACAACUUACUCAGGUGGUAUUUAUCUUUUUCUCAGAGAUAAUACAUAUAUUACAUUAUCUAGUUGCAUCUCUGGAUAUAAUGUUCCUGGUUUAACAAACGAAUUAUUUGAAGGUGUUCCUAAUAAAAUAACAAGGACAUUUAGAUAUUUAAACGGAAAGCUGUACUUUUUUAAUGAAAAUAAUUACUUUGAAUAUGAUGAGUUUACUAAGAGUGUCAUACAAGCGGGACCUAAAACUUUAUCUAUAUUUAACAUUAAUUGUCCGCGAGAACCCAUCUUAAUUCAAUUGAAAAAAUUAUCUUUUAAAAAGAUUAUUACACACAAUGCAGUCCUGGUUGAAAAUUUAACAGAUUAUACUCGUGAAGAAGAUAGUUGGUGUAGUUGGUGUAUUCAUCAGUGUUUGUUUACAGUAAGUUUAUAUUACAACUUAAUAAAACGUUCUUUCUAAACAUCUAAUUUAAACAUCUAAUUUCAGCUUCAGACCUACAAAAGUUGUGCCAAAAAGACGCAUCGUAAGUUUAUCGAAAAUAUUGACUUCGGCACAAGUUCUUCAUCCACAAAUUCUUCCGAUUCAGACUACUGAAUUCUUCUCUAAAACCAACAUAAAUAAUCUUUUUUUGGUAAAUUCUUUAAUUUUUUAAAUUUGUUUACCACAUUUGAUUGCUAAAAAUGUGUUUAAUUUUUUAGGAAAAUUUUUAUCAAAUUUUUAUCAAACAAAAAGUGCGUCACAAAAUUCCUACGAUAAGGAAAGCGUGUUAUCUGUUAACCGCAAAAAUUGAUUAUAAAAGUUCCGUUUUUUACACAUUUCACCAGUUUUAUUAAAACUAUCUUUGUGAGAAGUUGUAUGUGCUCCGCUGUGUAUUUUUGCAUUUAAAUUUCAAAGGAUUCUGUAAUGGCUGAUCAACUAUUAAAUCUGAAUAAAAUUGCUGCCUGUGAAUAUACUGAUACAUAUGUCAGUGCCAACGAUUUGGAAGUGAACAAGAAAUAUAAAAUCAUCAAUUUAACCAAGGCAAACACACAACAUGGGGUUAUGAUGGUAGCAUAUCUGGACAACGUCGGUAAAGUUUUUUUACCUAAACGACUAACAGCAGUUAUGAAUGAUACCAUAAUUACGACACUAAUGGAAGGACUCGGAUCUUAUUUGAUUUAUAUGGGACGUAAGCAAGCUAAUGGAAAUCAGGAACAUGAUGCCCACAUUUUUAAUUUCGAACGUAUUGUUCACGAAGAUUAAUGUAAAAUUUUUUGGUUUCCAAAAUAGACAGCACUAUCCACUCUACCUACCUGAGGUUCGACUCCCCAUGGAAGGAACAACAACAACAACAACUUUUUUUGCAUUAUAUUUUAAACAAAUAACAAAAUAAACUUGGUGCGCAACAGACAAGUUAGGCAAACAACAUUACAAAAAUAAAAAACUACAUAUACUA